GUCAGUAGGACGAAGCAUCGUUUGACCCAAAACUUCUUUUGGCCAGGGGUCUCCAGAGAUAUUCGGUAGUAUUGCCAAACUUGUGACACAUGCCAGAGAGUAGGGAAGAGAGGGGACCGGUACAAGGCAAAAAUGCACUCCCUACCCAUAAUGAACCCUUCAGUAGAGUGGCCCCCUAGCAAAACCCAGCCCGUCAGGGAAGAAGUAUAUACUAACCGUAGUAGACUAUGCCACUCGGUACCCAGAGGCCGUAGCCCUGACUAAUAUCCAUGCGGAGACUAUAGUAGAUGCCCUAAUCCGGAUAUUCUCCAGAAUGGGGUUCCCCAAAGAGAUUAUCUCAGAUCGGGGUACCCAAUUCACAGCCGAAGUCACUCAUCAGUUAUGGAGAACAUGUGGGGUGAAGACGGUACGGUCUAAUCUCCAGGCGGCCCAGCAACGACAGCACAGAUGGUAAGAUAGGGGAGCCAGAGACCGCAGUUUUCAAAUAGGACAAAAGGUGUUAAUCUUGAAGCCAGUCCAAAAUGACAAACUGCAGGCCUCUUGGCAAGGCCCUUAUAAGGUGGUGGAACAGGUAUGUG